UAACUGGUCAUUGUCACGAGGCAGUCGGCCUAAUGUUUGUCAUUCAUACAAGUAUAAAACAAAAAGAGAUACAAAGAAGCAGAAGCGAAAGAACUUGGAAAAGAAAUUUAACAAAAUUUUCCAUUUCAUGAAGUUGAAGUACAUGGGGGCCGAAGCCAUUACAAAGGAAACCCUAAUCUGUGGGAGGAACUUCAGCACUGGCCGCCUCCUGGGCCUCUGGAACCUCCUCGGUAACCUUGUCAGGCCGACCUCCAGUGGGUCCCCCGAACUCAGCCUCUAGUUGAGAGAUGUCCAGUGUGGGGUGCACCUCCUUCAGCCGACCCAAUAGGCUCUGGGCACUCCACGAGGCCCAGAAGUUGGCGAAGUCGUCAUAAAGGGGGUGGUCCUCGAAGUGAUCAAUAAAAUUUUGAACCGCCACCUCCCCCGCUGACUUUAACUCCUCCCUCAGAGAGGCAAUCUCCACUGACUGAGCCUCUGCUUGCUGCUUCAGCUCCGCUUUUUCUCUGUUGGAGGCCUCCAGGGCAUCAGUGGCAAGCUUGUGGUGCUCAUUAGCGUGGUCAAGCCGCCGAGUCACCACAGCCACCUGGCACUCCACCUCAUAGAGCUCUUUUUUCAGCCGCUCCACC
rnacentral:lncRNA from 1 species